rnacentral:rRNA from 1 species
AGUGAACGCUGGCGGCAGGCCUAACACAUGCAAGUCGAACGGCAGCACAGGAGAGCUUGCUCUCUGGGUGGCGAGUGGCGGACGGGUGAGGAAAACGUCGGAAUCUGCCUAUUUGCGGGGGAUAACGUAGGGAAACUUACGCUAAUACCGCAUACGACCUACGGGUGAAAGCGGAGGACCUUCGGGCUUCGCGCAGAUAGAUGAGCCGACGUCGGAUUAGCUAGUUGGCGGGGUAAAGGCCCACCAAGGCGACGAUCCGUAGCUGGUCUGAGAGGAUGAUCAGCCACACUGGAACUGAGACACGGUCCAGACUCCUACGGGAGGCAGCAGUGGGGAAUAUUGGACAAUGGGCGCAAGCCUGAUCCAGCCAUGCCGCGUGGGUGAAGAAGGCCUUCGGGUUGUAAAGCCCUUUUGUUGGGAAAGAAAAGCAGCCGAUUAAUACCCGGUUGUCAUGACGGUACCCAAAGAAUAAGCACCGGCUAACUUCGUGCCAGCCGCCGCGGUAACAC